GUUUGUUGAUGGCAGAGCUUUGUCUUCUGUGAAUACACAGGGAAUCUUUCUUUGGGAUGCCCCUUCCCAAAGCCAGGGAUGAGGAAAAGACUACCAUCUGAUGGAGAUAACCCACCGAUUUGAAGGACAACAUCCUUAAGGCCUUCAGCAUUCCAAGGAACGUAUACAAGGUCUAUUUCUUGCUCUUGGACUGCUUCUUCCCCUAGAGAACUCUGGAUUGCCCCUGACUUCUGAUCUACCCUGACUUGGGAAGUGGCCAUCAACUGUAGUUGCUCUUUACUGCAAAGAUCCAACUCAACAAGAUUUAUUCUUACAAUCACCCUGAAAAUUCCGGACUGGAUCAAGCCAGGGCCUCAAGUAUUUGGAAAGAGGUUUGUUUCAGAGAGCUGCGGAGGCCAGGCAGCAUGCAAUAUGAAUAUCCCUGCAUAAAGAAGGUUCUGAUAGGUCAAGAUGCCCCGACAAGCCACUGUGUGAAACUGUGAAGUUGAAGCCUGGUUGGCAAUGGAGCCUCCUGGACACUGGAGAUGUUAGAGCUGUGAAACAUUUGCCAAAGAGAGCUCCAUACAGGGAGUAGUGCCAGUCCAAGAGAGAGAUGUAUGUUGCAUACCACAAAGCUAGAGGAGCUGAGACAUCUAAGCUCUUUGGAAGUAAAAGUCUCAGAAGUUAGACAUGGAGCUACUGGAUUUGGUGUUUGCCCUGCUGGGUUUUGGUCUUGUUUUUGUCCAGUAUUUCCUCAGUAUGUCCCCAUUCCUCUGUUUUGUAAUGGGAAUGUAUAUUCAGAUCCAUUAUAUGUUGGGAGUAUGUAAUCUGUCUUUUGAUUUUACAGGGCUUACA